rnacentral:rRNA from 1 species
UGGGGAAUAUUGCGCAAUGGGGGGAACCCUGACGCAGCCAUGCCGCGUGAAUGAAGAAGGCCUUAGGGUUGUAAAGUUCUUUCGGUACUGAGGAAGGUUGAUGUGUUAAUAGCACAUCAAAUUGACGUUAAAUACAGAAGAAGCACCGGCUAACUCCGUGCCAGCAGCCGCGGUAAUACGGAGGGUGCGAGCGUUAAUCGGAAUAACUGGGCGUAAAGGGCACGCAGGCGGUUAUUUAAGUGAGGUGUGAAAGCCCCGGGCUUAACCUGGGAAUUGCAUUUCAGACUGGGUAACUAGAGUACUUUAGGGAGGGGUAGAAUUCCACGUGUAGCGGUGAAAUGCGUAGAGAUGUGGAGGAAUACCGAAGGCGAAGGCAGCCCCUUGGGAAUGUACUGACGCUCAUGUGCGAAAGCGUGGGGAGCAAACAGGAUUAGAUACCCUGGUAGUCCACGCUGUAAACGCUGUCGAUUUGGGGGUUGGGGUUUAACUCUGGCGCCCGUAGCUAACGUGAUAAAUCGACCGCCUGGGGAGUACGGCCGCAAGGUUA